CAAAUAUUUUCAGACUGACAAUGACUUGGUUUGCGUUAGGUGCUGGUGAAGGCGGGCGACAAAGUGAAUGUCGGUGACCCGCUGAUGGUCAUGAUUGCCAUGAAGAUGGAGCACAUCAUCCGGGCACCCAAGGCGGGCGUGAUCGCCAAGGUCUUCUUCAACGAGGGCGCUCAGGCCAAUCGACACGCUCCUUUGGUGGAGCUGGAAGAAGAGGGCGGGGCCGACGAGGAGGGGGCCCAGUAGGUCAACGGAAAACCUCGCAGCUGCCCAGGCUCCGUCUGGACUGGCCGAGGCAGAUCUUUUUCACUUGGAGGCUC